rnacentral:rRNA from 1 species
GCAAUGCCGUUGCAGUGGGGGGGGGGAAGACGGGGGGAGCGAGUGGUGUGCGGAAGUGCGGGGCGUAAAGCGUGGGUAGGCGGCUAUUCAAGGCAGAGGUGAAAGCCUGGAGCUCAACUCCAGAACUGCCUUUGAAACUAGAUAGCUAGAAUCUUGGGGAGGCGAGUGGAAUUCCGAGUGUAGAGGUGAAAUUCGUAAAUAUUCGGAAGAACACCAGUGGCGAAGGCGACUCGCUGGACAAGUAUUGACGCUGAGGUGCGAAAGCGUGGGGAGCAAACAGGAUUAGAUACCCGAGUAGUC